AAGUCGUAACAAGGUUUCCGUAGGUGAACCUGCGGAAGGAUCAUUAUUGUAGGGACUCCGGUCCCCUCAAGAUGCAACCCGUGCCUUUUUUGUAGCCCGUAACGUUUCCUCGGCAGCCCCGCUGCCAGCGAGGACCCCCCCAAACCAAACCUGCAAUCUCAGUAAUAAAUUCAGAAACCCCCCAAAAUUUAAAACUUUCAACAAUGGAUCUCUUGGCUCUG
rnacentral:misc_RNA from 1 species